CAUGAUCUUUUUGUUGGAGUUGGGGUAGGACUACCCUGUACUGUAAUGGAGUGUGGUGAUAUAAUUUAUAGAAGCACACUGCCCAAGUCAAAUGGGAUCACAGUCACUGUUCCUGGGGUUAUUUUGGCUUUGGGUACCCUGUCUUACCUCUGGGCUACUCCUGGUGUCGCUCCUGGUUUCUUCGAUAUGUUUGUUCUUGCCUUUGUUGAAAGAUUGUUUCGACCUACUUAUAAGAAGGUACUCCUAUUAGUUAUUUAGUUAGUUAGGUCCCCAAAUUCUAAAAUCUUGUUUGUUUGCAGGAUGAAAUUGUUCUGGGAAAGAAACUGGGUGAGGGAUCUUUUGGUUCUGUUUAUAGAGUUUCUUUGGCAAGAAAGCCAUCUUCAAAGGGUGGUGAUUUAGUCUUAAAAAGAGCAACUGAAUAUGGAGCAGUGGAAAUAUGGAUGAAUGAGCGUGUGCGUAGAGCUUGUGCUAAUAGUUGUGCUGAUUUUAUCUAUGGGUUUAGAGAGGUACACUUGUAAUUAUCACAUGCAUUUUUCUAUAUUGCAAUGAGUUAUUUAUGUUUAAAACUUUGCUAGAGUUCUUCAAAGAAAGGAGCAGAGUAUUGGCUUCUUUGGCGGUUCGAAGGUGAAGCUACACUUGCUGAUUUGAUGCAGAGUAGAGAGUUUCCCUACAACGUAGGUGUUCCAUUCUCUUGUUACCUAGGUCUUGUUACAGCUUUUAUAUGUAGAUUUAACACAUUUUUGUGUAGUUUCCUGGCUACAACAGGAACUGCUUUGGGGACACCACCUCAAAUUCCAUUAGUGGUCUAACAGUCCUUGCAUAGAAAAAACAUUCUCAUGUGAACACUUUGCUCUCCUAGUAAAUGUUCAGUAAUUCCAAUAGACCUGGAUAGAUAGUCAAGAAUUCCCCUAUUUCAUUACAUACUGUCCUGGGCGAAAUUAGAGCUCUGCGCUUAUACCAUUGCGAGUGAGGUGAGUGUACAGAUUGUGAAAGGAUCUGAGUUUCCCGUGUCUGUGGAGUUUUCCUUCUAAGAGGAUCAGGUGGAGAUAGAAUCUAAAGAAUAUAUAUGUUAUAUAAAGUUGUCUAAGGAUCAUUUGAUAUUCGAGGAUGAGCUUCAUUGGUAUUAAAUAGUCUCCUAAAAAGAUCUAAUGUAGGAGAAAUCCCUAGCAGUGAUAAGUAAUAUUACAAUGUUUUUCUGUUGAAUGAAAUUAAACCAGUAUCAAAACCUUCUUAGUUCAAAUAUAAGAAAAAUAUGUUCAUUUUAGCAUUUACAUGUUAAGGGAAAUUGACAAAUACAGAGCUGAGAAGAAUGAUUUUUGAUUUCGUAGUGAAAGUGUAUGAUAGAUACUGAUAGAGUUAAAUGACAAAAGGAUGUCGUAUAAAACGCUUAGAAAAUGCAAUUCUCUACUANAAGCCUUUAUCUUUGUCGAUACGAUUGAAGAAACAAUGGAAUUCAGGGAUUGUUUACUGUAGCCUUGCACAUGAUCUUUUUGUUGGAGUUGGGGUAGGACUACCCUGUACUGUAAUGGAGUGUGGUGAUAUAAUUUAUAGAAGCACACUGCCCAAGUCAAAUGGGAUCACAGUCACUGUUCCUGGGGUUAUUUUGGCUUUGGGUACCCUGUCUUACCUCUGGGCUACUCCUGGUGUCGCUCCUGGUUUCUUCGAUAUGUUUGUUCUUGCC
rnacentral:lncRNA from 1 species